rnacentral:rRNA from 1 species
ACGGGUGAGUAACACGUGGGUGAUCUGCCCUGCACUUUGGGAUAAGCCUGGGAAGCUGGGUCUAAUACCGAAUAGGAUCAUGGCCUUCAUGGGUUGUGGUGGAAAGCUUUUGCGGUGUGGGAUGGGCCCGCGGCCUAUCAGCUUGUUGGUGGGGUAAUGGCCUACCAAGGCGACGACGGGUAGCCGGCCUGAGAGGGUGACCGGCCACACUGGGACUGAGAUACGGCCCAGACUCCUACGGGAGGCAGCAGUGGGGAAUAUUGCACAAUGGGCGCAAGCCUGAUGCAGCGGCGCCGCGUGAGGGAUGACGGCCUUCGGGUUGUAAACCUCUUUCAGCAUCGACGAAGCGCAAGUGACGGUAGAUGCAGAAGAAGGACCGGCCAACUACGUGCCAGCAGCCGCGGUAAUACGUAGGGUCCGAGCGUUGUCCGGAAUUACUGGGCGUAAAGAGCUCGUAGGUGGUUUGUCGCGUUGUCCGUGAAAACUCACAGCUCAACUGUGGGCGUGCGGGCGAUACGGGCAGACUGGAGUACUGCAGGGGAGACUGGAAUUCCUGGUGUAGCGGUGGAAUGCGCAGA